GGCAAUAACUUCAAAUGCUAACUUCAAACUUUCAUUGAGAGCAUAGAUUCUAUAGCAACCAAGUAACAAUGACAACAAAAUUGCAUUCCAUUGAUUGAAGCUUUUUAAAGAGCUGGGAAUGUGAGACUACGACAACCUUUCCCUUGUGUAAUGUCAACGUCGGCUAUCACUUUGGCAGAAUCAGCCAGCUCAGUGAAGACAUGAAAACCCUCCUUCCCUCCUGUUUUUUCAUCUGCUGGUGGCAUUCAAAGUGACCUUCCCUUAUAAAUAUUGGAACUACGUUUCUCCAUGAUUAGACUUUUUAACCAUUCCAUUUGGACAGCAUCUCUGUGGAGCCAUUGUGCCAAGCAAGUCCUGGUAUGAAAUUCAAUUUCAAUGUAUUUCUGAAAAAAACGUAAUUUAAUGUAAAAUUUAUCUAAGCUCCUCAUG
rnacentral:lncRNA from 1 species